rnacentral:tRNA from 1 species
GCCUCCGUACCUCACCUGGAUAGAGGGUCCGCCUCCUAAGCGGAACGCAGUGAGUUCGAGUCUCGCCGGGGGCGCCA